rnacentral:rRNA from 1 species
GAUUAAGUUAUUAAGGGCGCACGGUGGAUGCCUUGGCACUAGAAGCCGAUGAAGGACGUUACUAACGACGAUAUGCUUUGGGGAGCUGUAAGUAAGCUUUGAUCCAGAGAUUUCCGAAUGGGGAAACCCAGCAUGAGUUAUGUCAUGUUAUCGAUAUGUGAAUACAUAGCAUAUCAGAAGGCACACCCGGAGAACUGAAACAUCUUAGUACCCGGAGGAAGAGAAAGAAAAUUCGAUUCCCUUAGUAGCGGCGAGCGAAACGGGAAGAGCCCAAACCAACAAGCUUGCUUGUUGGGGUUGUAGGACACUCUAUACGGAGUUACAAAGGACGACAUUAGACGAAUCAUCUGGAAAGAUGAAUCAAAG